AAUAACUAAAGCUCUAAACGCCACGUUUUAUAUAGACACAAAUCCUAUGUUAUUACAAGCUAUCAUCGCCGAUGACGAUAGUAGCUCUAGAUUAUCUUAUGGGACGCUAUCAAUAUCGAAUAAUUCUCAAAUUUAUCAUAUUCACGAUUAUAGAUAUAUUACUGAUGAUAAUAUCACAAAUCUAAGAUUUGUGCAGCCUUACGGGAAAUCGCUUCAAAUUCAUGAAUUCCACGAAUCAUAUAUAAUUGUAAAAGGUUUCUUGAAACAUCCAUUCAAAAAAUUGAGAGCCAUAUUUUACAACUUAUCGAAC